UGACGACGACGACCAGGAAGAGGCGGA
rnacentral:sRNA from 1 species